rnacentral:rRNA from 1 species
UGCAAGUCGAACGAGAACGGCUUCAGCAAUGGGGCCUAGUACAGUGGCGAACGGGUGAGUAACACGUGGGUAAUCUACCUUCGAGUGGGGGAUAACCCGGGGAAACCUGGGCUAAUACCGCAUAAUAUCCGCAAGGAUCAAAGGAGCAAUUCGCUUGAAGAUGAGCCCGCGGCCGAUUAGCUAGUUGGCGGGGUAAUGGCCCACCAAGGCUCUGAUCGGUAGCCGGUCUGAGAGGACGCACGGCCACACUGGAACUGAAACACGGUCCAGACUUCUACGGGAGGCAGCAGUGGGGAAUCUUGCACAAUGGGGGAAACCCUGAUGCAGCGACGCCGCGUGGGUGAUGAAGCUCUUCGGAGUGUAAAGCCCUUUCGGCAGGGAAGAGAUAAGACGGUACCUGCAAAAGAAGCCCCGGCUAACUACGUGCCAGCAGCCGCGGUAAUACGUAGGGGGCCAGCGUUGUUCGGAAUUACUGGGCGUAAAGAGCGCGUAGGUGGUGCGGUGUGUUUGGUGUGAAAUCUCCCGGCUCAACCGGGAGGGGCCAUCGAAAACUGCCGCGCUUUGGGUACGGGAGAGGGGAGUGGAAUUCCCGGUGUAGCGGUGAAAUGCGUAGAGAUCGGGAGGAACACCAGCGACGAAGGUGGCUCCCUGGACCGUUACCGACACUGAGGCGCGAAAGCUAGGGGAGCAAACAGGAUUAGAUACCCUGGUAGUCCUAGCCCUAAACGAUGUUCACUUGGUGUGCCGCGAGCACUCGCGGUGUGCCGGAGCUAACGCGUUAAGUGAACCGCCUGGGGAGUACGGUCGCAGGCUGAAACUCGAAUUGACGGGGGCCCGCACAAGCGGUGGAGCAUGUGGUUCAUCGACGCACGC